AUUGAACGCUGGCGGCAGGCCUAACACAUGCAAGUCGAACGAGUGGCGGACGGGUGAGUACUGUCUGGGAAACUGCCCGAUGGAGGGGGAUCACUACUGGAAACGGUAGCUAAUACCGCAUACCAUCAGAUGUUCCCCGAUGGGAUUAGCUAGUUGGUGGGGUAACGGCUCACCAAGGCGACGAUCCCUAGCUGGUCUGAGAGGAUGACCAGCCACACGGGAACGGAGACACGGUCCAGACUCCUACGGGAGGCAGCAGUGGGGAAUAUUGCACAAUGGGCGCAAGCCUGAUGCAGCCAGGCGGCGUGUAUGAAGAAGGCCUUCGGGUUGUAAAGUACUUUCAGCGGGGAGGCGUUACCCGCAGAAGAAGCACCGGCUAACGCCGUGCCAGCAGCCGCGGUAAUGC
rnacentral:rRNA from 1 species